GACGAACGCUGGCGGCGUGCUUAACACAUGCAAGUCGAACGGAAAGGCCCUGCUUUUGUGGGGUGCUCGAGUGGCGAACGGGUGAGUAACACGUGAGUAACCUGCCCUUGACUUUGGGAUAACUUCAGGAAACUGGGGCUAAUACCGGAUAGGAGCUCCUGCUGCAUGGUGGGGGUUGGAAAGUUUCGGCGGUUGGGGAUGGACUCGCGGCUUAUCAGCUUGUUGGUGGGGUAGUGGCUUACCAAGGCUUUGACGGGUAGCCGGCCUGAGAGGGUGACCGGCCACAUUGGGACUGAGAUACGGCCCAGACUCCUACGGGAGGCAGCAGUGGGGAAUAUUGCACAAUGGGCGGAAGCCUGAUGCAGCAACGCCGCGUGCGGGAUGACGGCCUUCGGGUUGUAAACCGCUUUCGCCUGUGACGAAGCGUGAGUGACGGUAAUGGGUAAAGAAGCACCGGCUAACUACGUGCCAGCAGCCGCGGUGAUACGUAGGGUGCGAGCGUUGUCCGGAUUUAUUGGGCGUAAAGGGCUCGUAGGUGGUUGAUCGCGUCGGAAGUGUAAUCUUGGGGCUUAACCCUGAGCGUGCUUUCGAUACGGGUUGACUUGAGGAAGGUAGGGGAGAAUGGAAUUCCUGGUGGAGCGGUGGAAUGCGCAGAUAUCAGGAGGAACACCAGUGGCGAAGGCGGUUCUCUGGGCCUUUCCUGACGCUGAGGAGCGAAAGCGUGGGGAGCGAACAGGCUUAGAUACCCUGGUAGUCCACGCUGUAAACGGUGGGUACUAGGUGUGGGGUCCAUUCCACGGGUUCCGUGCCGUAGCUAACGCUUUAAGUACCCCGCCUGGGGAGUACGGCCGCAAGGCUAAAACUCAAAGGAAUUGACGGGGCCCCGCACAAGCGGCGGAGCAUGCGGAUUAAUUCGAUGCAACGCGUAGAACCUUACCUGGGUUUGACAUGGAUCGGGAGCGCUCAGAGAUGGGUGUGCCUCUUUUGGGGUCGGUUCACAGGUGGUGCAUGGCUGUCGUCAGCUCGUGUCGUGAGAUGUUGGGUUAAGUCCCGCAACGAGCGCAACCCUUGUUCACUGUUGCCAGCACGUUAUGGUGGGGACUCAGUGGAGACCGCCGGGGUCAACUCGGAGGAAGGUGGGGAUGACGUCAAGUCAUCAUGCCCCUUAUGUCCAGGGCUUCACGCAUGCUACAAUGGCUGGUACAGAGAGUGGCGAGCCUGUGAGGGUGAGCGAAUCUCGGAAAGCCGGUCUCAGUUCGGAUUGGGGUCUGCAACUCGACCUCAUGAAGUCGGAGUCGCUAGUAAUCGCAGAUCAGCAACGCUGCGGUGAGUACGUUCCCGGGGCU
rnacentral:rRNA from 1 species